rnacentral:rRNA from 1 species
AUUGGACGCUGGCGGCAGGCCUAACACAUGCAAGUCGAGCGGAUGAAGGGAGCUUGCUCCUGGAUGCAGCUGCGGACGGGUGAGUAAUUCCUAGGAAUCUGCCUGGUAUUUGGGGAUAACGUACGUACACGGACGCUGAUACAACAUAGGUCCUUAUGUAGAACGGCAUGGAUCUUCGGACCUCAAGCUUUUUGCUGUCCCUAGUGCGUAUUAGCUAGUUGGUUUGGUAAAGGCCUACCAAGGCGACGAUCCGUAACUGGGCUGAGAGGCUGAUCAGCCACACUGGAACUGAGACACGGUCCAGACUCCUACGGGAGGCAGCAGUGGGGAAUAUUGCGCAAUGGGCGAAAGCCUGACGGAGCAACGCCGCGUGUGUGAAGAAGGUCUUCGGAUCGUAAAGCUCUGUAAGUAGGGAGGAAGGGAAGUGAGUGAAAAUGUGGCUGUCUUGACGGUACCAAAACAAUAAGCAACGGCUAACUACGUG